rnacentral:rRNA from 1 species
CACGUAGGGCGCAAGCGUUGUCCGGAAUUAUUGGGCGUAAAGAGCUCGUAGGUGGUUUGUUACGUCUGCUGUGAAAACCUAGGGCUUAACCCUGGGCUUGCAGUGGGUACGGGCAGACUAGAGUGCGGUAGGGGUGACUGGAAUUCCUGGUGUAGCGGUGGAAUGCGCAGAUAUCAGGAGGAACACCGAUGGCGAAGGCAGGUCACUGGGCCGCAACUGACGCUGAGGAGCGAAAGCAUGGGGGAGCGAACAGG